GAUGAACGCUAGCGGCAGGCUUAAUACAUGCAAGUCGUGGGGCAGCAUGAUGUAGCAAUACAUUGAUGGCGACCGGCAAACGGGUGCGGAACACGUACACAACCUUCCUUUUAGUGGGGAAUAGCCCAGAGAAAUUUGGAUUAAUACCCCAUAACAUAACGAUGUGGCAUCACAUUGUUAUUAUAGAUUUUUCGCUUAUUGAUGGGUGUGCGGCUGAUUAGAUAGUUGGCGGGGUAACGGCCCACCAAGUCUACGAUCAGUAGCUGAUGUGAGAGCAUGAUCAGCCACACGGGAACUGAGACACGGGCCCGACUCCUACGGGAGGCAGCAGUAAGGAAUAUUGGACAAUGGACGCAAGUCUGAUCCAGCCAUGCCGCGUGAAGGAUUAAGGUCCUCUGGAUUGUAAACUUCUUUUAUUUGGGACGAAAAAAGAUCAUUCUUGAUCACUUGACGGUACCAGAUGAAUAAGCACCGGCUAACUCCGUGCCAGCCGCCGCCGUAAGAC
rnacentral:rRNA from 1 species